AGAAGGAGAGGGAAGCAGGCUCUCUGCCGAGCAGAGAGCCCGAUGCGGGACUCGAUCCCAGGACCCUGAGAUCAUGACCUGAGCCGAAGGCAGCGGCUUAACCCACUGAGCCACCCAGGCGCCCCGGAGUAAGCAGUGUUAUUGUCCUAUUUGCAGGUGAGGGAGCUGAGGCCCCAAUCAGUUAAAUUAUCCCAGGUCACCAGCUGGGAAGUGCUGGGGCCAGAAUUUGAAUCCAGGAACCUUCAUCACUACGCGUCUACCUCCGGAGGGCUUUACAGUUUACAAAGCACCGUGGGGUACACAGAUGGUCUCCAGCCUCUCGGCGAAACUGCAUGUGUCUCCUGUAAUCGACGAUCCUGGGAGAUGGGUGCUGGGUCUUAUGUUCUGAUUCUUCGAAGACAGUUAAUACAUGCACACGGUCAGAUGAAAGGGUGCACGGUCAGAACAUGUCUGUCUUCUGGUAAGCCCCUGCUCCCCAGGGGCACCAGGGUUCUCGCUCCUUGUGGAUCUUUCCAGAGACAUUCUAUCUUUCUAUCUGCCUGGGUUUCUGUGCCCUAAAAUCCCCCUUCUUAAAAACAAAACAAAACAAAACCAGCCAAGUGGUUGAAUCUUAGGUGUACUGAGUCUGUCCCCUUUCUCGACAGCAGGAGGAACUCACGCGGGCUGUCGGGGCCAAAGUCCGUCCCAUUCAGAGUCUCUGCGUCUCAACAGACCCGAUGGCGAUACCCAGAUACCACCUGUGUACCAAAGGUUACGCUGGGACCCGUCACCGCCCUUUCCAAGGAAACAGCUGAGGAUUAUUGCUGCUUGCUUGGUUGGCUCUGUUGUUUUGUUUUGAUACUCUCGGCCAGAUCACCCGGAAUUCAGAAUGACCUUGACUCACCUGUAAAUCCCCGGGUCUUUAUCCCCGGGAACAGAUGCCACGCCGGCUUUGUGAUGACUUGCUCUUCUGCGAUGAGCAGUGUGAACCUACAUGCCCGACUUCAUGUGUCUCAGUUCAGUUUCAUGUCACUGCUCCCUCUGGGCAGUUAAAACCCUGAUUCUAAGAAAAAAAUUUAAAAAUUAAAGAAAAAUAAAACCCCGAUUCUGUUUCUGCUGCGUUGGUUCCUUUCAUGGCAUGCAUUAUCCCUCACGUUCCGUCCUGGGAGCUAGAUUCUUGCUACCUUUGUUGCUGUGGCUUUAGGAGAGCAACCAACUUUAAAAAUGAG
rnacentral:lncRNA from 1 species